GGUAGUCCAUGCCGUAAACGUUGGGCACUAGGUGUGGGGGACAUUCCACGUUUUCCGCGCCGUAGCUAACGCAUUAAGUGCCCCGCCUGGGGAGUACGGCCGCAAGGCUAAAACUCAAAGGAAUUGACGGGGGCCCGCACAAGCGGCGGAGCAUGCGGAUUAAUUCGAUGCAACGCGAAGAACCUUACCAAGGCUUGACAUGAACCGGACCGCUGCAGAAAUGUGGUUUCCCCUUUGGGGCUGGUUUACAGGUGGUGCAUGGUUGUCGUCAGCUCGUGUCGUGAGAUGUUGGGUUAAGUCCCGCAACGAGCGCAACCCUCGUUCUAUGUUGCCAGCACGUGAUGGUGGGGACUCAUAGGAGACUGCCGGGGUCAACUCGGAGGAAGGUGGGGACGACGUCAAAUCAUCAUGCCCCUUAUGUCUUGGGCUUCACGCAUGCUACAAUGGCCGGUACAAAGGGUUGCGAUACUGUGAGGUGGAGCUAAUCCCAAAAAGCCGGUCUCAGUUCGGAUUGGGGUCUGCAACUCGACCCCAUGAAGUCGGAGUCGCUAGUAAUCGCAGAUCAGCAACGCUGCGGUGAAUACGUUCCCGGGCCUUGUACACACCGCCCGUCAAGUCACGAAAGUUGGUAACACCCGAAGCCGGUGGCCUAACCCCUUGUGGGAGGGAGCUGUCGAAGGUGGGACUGGCGAUUGGGACUAAGUCGUAACAAGGUAGCCGUACCGGAAGGUGC
rnacentral:rRNA from 1 species